GAUGAACGCUGACAGAAUGCUUAACACAUCAGCAAUUGAUUGGUGGCGGACGGGUGAGUAACGCGUAUAGAACUUGCCUCACAGCUAGGGACAACAUCUAGAAAUGAAUGCUACUACCUGAUCCUGUGAGAGAGCUUUGCGUCCCAUUAGCUAGUUGGAGAGGUAACAGCUCACCAAGGCGAGGAUGGGUAGCCGGACUGAGAGGGUGAACGGGUACAAGGGGACUGAGGCACGGCCCGUACUGAUACGGGAGGCAGGAGUGGGGAAUAGUGGACAAUGGACCGAAGUGUGAACAAGGAAUUCGGGGUGCAAGAUGAAGUUUUCGGAAUGUAAAGGGCUUUCAGUUGGGAAGCGGUACCAACAGAAGAAGUGACGGCUAAAUACGUGCCAGCAGCCGCGGUAAUUC
rnacentral:rRNA from 1 species